rnacentral:tRNA from 2 species
GUUUCCAUGGUUGAAAGAAACAACGGCGGCUUUUCAGGCCGUAAGUCUUGGAGAGAGGCCAAGUGGAAACU